UACGUAGGGGGCAAGCGUUGUCCGGAAUUAUUGGGCGUAAAGCGCGUGCAGGCGGCUUGUUAAGUCGGAUGUUUAAUGUCGGGGCUCAACCCCGAUUCGCAUCCGAAACUGGCAAGCUUGAGUGUAGGAGAGGAAAGUGGAAUUCCACGUGUAGCGGUGAAAUGCGUAGAGAUGUGGAGGAACACCAGUGGCGAAGGCGACUUUCUGGCCUAAAACUGACGCUGAGGCGCGAAAGCGUGGGGAGCAAACAGG
rnacentral:rRNA from 1 species